rnacentral:tRNA from 1 species
GCUGUGGCUCAGUAGUAGAGCACUUGCUUCGUAUGCAGAAGGUCCCAGGUUCAAUCCCCAGCAUCUCCA